GCUGGCCCAAUUGGUGGUCCCGAGUCACAACUGGUGUGACUUCGCCAUAUCAUCUUGGGUGCAUCUCAAUGGAGGAUUGGUUCUAGUCAGUAGAUCUCUCCUACAACAAAAAGCAUUAUUAGUAUAUAAUAGAGUUGAACCAUUGAUAUUUGAACUACCAUAAGUUGAGUUUAUAAAGUGGACUCAAAUUCUUGUGACACUUAUG
rnacentral:lncRNA from 1 species